GAUGAACGCUAGCGGCAGGCCUAAUACAUGCAAGUCGAGGGGCAGCGCGGUAGCAAUACUGGCGGCGACCGGCGCACGGGUGCGUAACACGUAUGCAACCUACCUUCAACUGGAGGAUAGCCCGGGGAAACUCGGAUUAAUACUCCAUAACACAGGGAUCCCGCAUGGGAAUAUUGUUAAAGCUACGGCGGUUGAAGAUGGGCAUGCGUUCGAUUAGCUAGUUGGUGUAGGUAAACGGCUCACCAAGGCUACGAUCGAUAGGGGGUCUGAGAGGAUGAUCCCCCACACUGGUACUGAGAUACGGGCCAGACUCCUACGGGAGGCAGCAGUAGGGAAUAUUGGUCAAUGGAUGGAAGUCUGAACCAGCCAUGCCGCGUGCAGGAAGAAGGCCUUCUGGGUUGUAAACUGCUUUUGCCAGGGGAUAAAAUGACCUUGCGAGGUUAAUUGAAGGUACCUGGUGAAUAAGCCACGGCUAACUACGUGCCAGCAGCCGCGGUAAU
rnacentral:rRNA from 1 species